rnacentral:lncRNA from 1 species
ACAGCCUGGCAUUGAUUAGGGCUCUUGUGUAGAAGGAUUUUAAGCCAGUGGGCUAUUCAACUAUGAAAAGAAGUCUCUGCAGCUGUAGAGCGACAACAGACCGAGAUAAGGUCUCGAUAGGUCUCAGCAGGAGACCACGAGAGGAGUACUGGCAGAGAUUGAGAGAAGGUCUCGACAAGGGGGGCUCGAAAAUAUCUCAAGGUGGCACAGAGGCCGA